AAUGAGAGAGUGAAUGAGAGAGCAAAUGUGAAAUUGAGAACUCUGCUGUGUCGAGGAUGGACCCCAGCAAUGCUGGAAGAUGCAGCAGCCUACAAUUGGUUCUCACCAGAAUUUAUGGCUCAAGAAGGAAACUGCUUCACAUUAUUGAGGUUAUGUCCGAGUCUGCCCUUUCUCAUGCCUGACACCUCAGAAUGGUGGAGGAGACAGACGGGAUCCAGCAUCCCGGACUUGUCAAAACCACUUUUCUCAUCAGUAACCCUGCUGGCUCAGCCAAGGUAUGUGCAUGCCUUGCUGCAGUGAGGACUGAUUAAGUAGUUCUCCACACUUGACUUUCUUAUGAUUUAAACAGAAACAUGCCUCCUCCCUGCUCCUGAGGGUUUCUAAGUCCCUAUAGGGUGAGCCAUGUUGCCUUGAAGUAGACCAGUAGCCACAAGAAAGCCUAUCCUGGAUACUGGGCUAUAAUCAUCACAGCCUGGACUUCUGAUAACAGAUUUCUUCGACUCAGCACUCUGCAUCCACAGAAAUAUUGAUUUUCCACAGAUGGACAUACCCUUCUCACAAGUGCUCUUUCAAAGGUCAAGUGAUGUAGGAAACCAGCCUACCACACUUUGGAACUGAUGAGAACAGCACCUGUAGAGACAACAGCAUGCUAUCAAGGCUUCCUGU